rnacentral:lncRNA from 1 species
CUGUAUCAGUUUGGGAGGAGGCAGCAUGGAAUGGAGAAAGGGAAUGGUUAUGCUAGACUAGAAAAGGCACAAUAUAAAGGAAACCAACAUGUAUUGAGCUCCUACUGUGUACAAGGCACCACACCAGAUGUUUCUGUGUAAGCCAACAAUUUGAUCUCCCCAACAGAUUAGAAGAUAUGUUUCCUAUUUCACAGAUGAGAAAACUAUUGUUCAUAGAAGCUAAUGCACACGUUCGUGGUCAGGACCCAACCCAAAGUCUCCAAGACCCUUGCUGCCUUCUGGGUCCUGGUAAGAUGGACUCAAUCCAGGUUUGGAUGUCCUACAUUUGAAGGGCCUAUGGGAUGGCUGGAGGGAAUGCUCAAGUGCCAGGGUUCCGGUUUAGGAUUGCUACACCAUAGGGUGUGGGGAGAGAAGGGUACACAAUAGAGACUGCUCUCCUCUUCUUAAGUAUUCAGAUUUCCCAAGUUUUAGCUGGACACAGCUAUCUGGAAUAAAGACUGUUUCUCAACUUCCUGUGAGGCUAGGGGUGUCCAUGUUGUGGUUUCUGAGGAGUGAGGGGUGGUGUGUUCUGCACACCUUUGCCAUUCUCUGCUCCUUUCUCCUUCCUAUAAACUGGAAUAAGGAUGUGAAGCUCAAGCAGCCAUUUUGCACCAUGAGGCAGUAGUACUCUGUUCCUGAUCAUGGUGGAACAAACUAAC